rnacentral:rRNA from 1 species
UACAUGGGGUGCAAACGUUGCUCGGAAUUAUUGGGCGUAAAGCGCGCGUAGGCGGUUACUCAAGUCGGAUGUGAAAGCCCUCGGCUUAACUGAGGAAGUGCACCCGAAACUGAGUAGCUAGAGUACUAAAGAGGGUCGCGGAAUUCCCGGUGUAGAGGUGAAAUUCGUAGAUAUUGGGAGGAACACCAGUGGCGAAGGCGGCUCACUGGACCGGAACUGACGCUGAGGCGCGAAAGCGUGGGGAGCAAACAGG